GACAGUUUGGCCGAGUGGUCUAAGGCGCUGGCAUAAGGCGCCAGUCCGAAAGGGCGUGGGUUCGAACCCCACAGCUGUCA
rnacentral:tRNA from 1 species